UGUGCCUCCCCAGCUAACAGAGGUUUUCCGGACACCAAUGGCCAUCCUCCAGUGAAGGUCCACUCUUCUCUACUUUGCUCUAAGCCCUGGGAGGGCUGACCUCUAUGAACUGCAUUCCUUGUCUUCUGGCUUCUGGUUGGGAUGGACAACGGAGUGCAUGAGCAGGAUUUAGAAGGACUCUAAUUCACAGACCUACCA